UAGAUAUAUUUUUCAUAUAUACAUACAUAUAAUAUAUAUAAAUAUAUGAAAAAUUGAUGUGGAUACUCAAAUGAACGCUCUUGAUGGGUGUAACACCGGAAUGAGCUUAUAUCUUUAAAAAUGUCAAUAGUUCUCAAAAUACAAGAUACAAGGUCAUUUCUUAAUUAUGAAUCUCGAGAUA